rnacentral:misc_RNA from 1 species
UUUCCGUAGGUGAACCUGCGGAAGGAUCAUUGAUGAAUCUACUCCCCCAACCUGAAAAGGAUGGGUGGAACCAUCUAUCCCGCAAGGGAUAGGUGAAAUACCCUGUCGAAACAAUAUUUCUUUCUUGGAUUUUUGAAUUCCCUCUGGGGAAUUCCGAGAUCUGAGAAAGGUUAAAAUGAACGACUCUGAUCGACGACUAACAAGAAUCAUAAUUAAAAUCAACUUUUAACAAUGGAUCUCUUGGCUCUU